rnacentral:rRNA from 1 species
AACGAAUGCUGGCGGCGCGUCUUAAGCAUGCAAGUCGAACGGCAAGAGAGGAGCUUGCUUCUCUCCUAGAGUGGCGGACUGGUGAGGAGCACGUGGGUAAUCUACCCUUAAGAUGGGGAUAGCUGCUAGAAAUAGCAGGUAAUACCGAAUACACUCGGCAUAUCACAAGAGGUGUUGAGGAAAGGAAGCUACGGCUUCGCUUGAGGAUGAGCUUGCGUCCCAUUAGCUAGUUGGUGAGGUAAAGGCCCACCAAGGCGACGAUGGGUAUCCGGCCUGAGAGGGUGAACGGACACAUUGGGACUGAGAUACGGCCCAAACUCCUACGGGAGGCAGCAGCUAAGAAUAUUCCGCAAUGGACGGAAGUCUGACGGAGCGACGCCGCGUGGAUGAAGAAGGCUGAAAAGUUGUAAAAUCCUUUUGUUGAUGAAGAAUAAGGGUGAGAGGGAAUGCUCAUCUGAUGACGGUAAUCGACGAAUAAGCCCCGGCUAAUUACGUG